rnacentral:pre_miRNA from 1 species
CUUCAGACUUCGUGCUUCUUUGCAUACCCAUACUGUAUUAGGAUAUGGAAUGUAAAGAAGUAUGUAGUUUGGCC